AAAAAAGAGAGUGACUGAACAAAGCUUCACCAAAGAAAGACAAAGAGAGUUUUUAGCCCAUCUAUCACUAAACCCCAGAAAAAGAUAGCUUAGUCACAAACCCAAACUUCUGGAAAAGCAAAGGAAUCAAGCUAAAAGCAUCCCCCAGAAUCAAACCUUUGCUUUCAAAAAUCAAAUGCCCCUAACUUAAGGAGGGAAAGUCCCAAAGCAUUAACUUUAACAAAACCGUUCAAACACAAAAGACCAGAUACUAGUAUCAAAAGAAUUGAUUAAAAAAAUACAGAAUGGACCAGAUGAAACAAACCCUAAUUUUUACCUUUUUUUCAAGAUUCACACUCCAAAAUUGAGA
rnacentral:misc_RNA from 1 species